rnacentral:rRNA from 1 species
GACGAACGCUGGCGGCGUGCUUAACACAUGCAAGUCGAACGGAAAGGCCCUGCUUUUGUGGGGUGCUCGAGUGGCGAACGGGUGAGUAACACGUGAGUAACCUGCCCUUGACUUUGGGAUAACUUCAGGAAACUGGGGCUAAUACCGGAUAGGAGCUCCUGCUGCAUGGUGGGGGUUGGAAAGUUUCGGCGGUUGGGGAUGGACUCGCGUCUUAUCAGCUUGUUGGUGGGGUAGUGGCUUACCAAGGCUUUGACGGGUAGCCGGCCUGAGAGGGUGACCGGCCACAUUGGGACUGAGAUACGGCCCAGACUCCUACGGGAGGCAGCAGUGGGGAAUAUUGCACAAUGGGCGGAAGCCUGAUGCAGCAACGCCGCGUGCGGGAUGACGGCCUUCGGGUUGUAAACCGCUUUCGCCUGUGACGAAGCGUGAGUGACGGUAAUGGGUAAAGAAGCACCGGCUAACUACGU